rnacentral:rRNA from 1 species
CAGCCGCCGCGGUAACACGUAGGGUGCAAGCGUUAAUCGGAAUUACUGGGCGUAAAGCGUGCGCAGGCGGUUAUAUAAGACAGAUGUGAAAUCCCCGGGCUCAACCUGGGAACUGCAUUUGUGACUGUAUAGCUAGAGUACGGCAGAGGGGGAUGGAAUUCCGCGUGUAGCAGUGAAAUGCGUAGAUAUGCGGAGGAACACCGAUGGCGAAGGCAAUCCCCUGGGCCUGUACUGACGCUCAUGCACGAAAGCGUGGGGAGCAAACAGGAUUAGAUACCCGUGUAGUCCCUGUCUCUUAUAC